rnacentral:rRNA from 1 species
UACAGAGGGUGCAAGCGUUGCUCGGAUUUACUGGGCGUAAAGCGUACGCAGACGGUGAGGAAGGUCGGAUGUGAAAGCCCUGGGCUCAACCCAGGAACUGCAUCCGAAACCCCCUCGCUAGAGUAUGGGAGAGGGAAGCGGAAUUCCUGGUGUAGAGGUGAAAUUCGUAGAUAUCAGGAGGAACAUCUGCGGCGAAGGCGGCUUCCUGGCCCAUUACUGACGUUCAGGUACGAAAGCGUGGGUAGCAAACAGG